CCUACGGGUGGCAGCAGUGGGGGAUAUUGCACAAUGGGGGGAACCCUGAUGCAGCGACGCCGCGUGGGUGAAGGAGUGCUUCGGCAUGUAAAGCCCUAUCGGCAGGGAAGAAGCAAGACGGUACCUGACUAAGAAGCCCCGGCUAACUACGUGCCAGCAGCCGCGGUAAUACGUAGGGGGCGAGCGUUAUCCGGAUUUAUUGGGUUUAAAGGGUGCGUAGGCGGAAUGCCAAGUCAGCGGUAAAAUCGCGGGGCUCAACCUCGCUCCGCCGUUGAAACUGGCGUUCUUGAGUGGGCGAGAAGUAUGCGGAAUGCGUGGUGUAGCGGUGAAAUGCAUAGAUAUCACGCAGAACUCCGAUUGCGAAGGCAGCAUACCGGCGCCCAACUGACGCUGAAGCACGAAAGCGUGGGUAUCGAACAGGAUUAGAUACCCGUGUAGUC
rnacentral:rRNA from 1 species